CCAGUCCAUUCUUUCUCCAGUCCAUUCUUUCUCCAGUCCAUUCUUUCUCCAGUCCAUUCUUUCUCCAGUCUUUUCUUUCUCCAGUCUUUUUCUUUUCUUUCUCAGUCUUUUCUUUCUCCAGUCCAUUCUUUCUCCAGUCCAUUCUUUCUCCAGUCCAUUCUUUCUCCAGUCCAUUCUUUCUCCAGUCCAUUCUUUCUCCAGUCCUUUCUCCAGUCUUUUCUUUCUCCAGUCUUUUCUUUCUCCAGUCUUUUCUUUCUCCAGUCCAUUCUUUCUCCAGUCCAUUCUUUCUCCAGUCCAUUCUUUCUCUCAUCUUUUCUUUCUCCAGUCUUUUCUUUCUCCAGUCCAUUCUUUCUCCAGUAUUUUCUUUCUCCAGUCUUUUCUUUCUCCAGUCCAUUCUUUCUCCAGUCCAUUCUUUCUCCAGUCCAUUCUUUCUCCAGUCUUUUCUUUCUCCAGUCUUUUCUUUCUCCAGUCUUUUCUUUCUCCAGUCUUUUCUUUCUCCAGUCCAUUCUUUCUCCAGUCCAUUCUUUCUCCAGUCCAUUCUUUCUCCAGUCCAUUCUUUCUCCAGUCUUUUCUUUCUCCAGUCUUUUCUUUCUCCAGUCUUUUCUUUCUCCAGUAUUUUCUUUCUCCAGUCCAUUCUUUCUCCAGUCCAUUCUUUCUCCAGUCCAUUCUUUCUCCAGUCCAUUCUUUCUCCAGUCCAUUCUUUCUC
ensembl:lncRNA